CGUUAAACUGGUCUGAACCUAGUGAAAGAAAUUUCUUCAGACCUGAUAUGGUAAAGGAGAUAGAAGAGAAAGUUCAACGAAUAAUUCAUAAUUUGAAGAAAGCUCAAGCUCGUCAGAAGAGUUAUGCAAACAAGCGACGACAACCCUUGUACUUUCUAGUUGGCGAUUAUGUCUACCUAAAAGUUUCACCGAUGAAGGGUGUAUCACAUUUCGGGGUUAAAGGGAAGCUGGCACCCCGGUAUAUUGGUCCUUUUCCUGUUCUUGAACAAUAUGGAGCAGUGGCAUAUUGACUCCAGUUACCCGAAACCUUGUCUCCAGUACAUAAUGUGUUCCACGCGUCUCAAUUGAAGAAGUGUCUUCGGGUUCCCGAUCGAACCAUUGAAGUAACGGAUAUUGCCUUAGAACCAAACUUGACGUAUUCAGAGCACCCUAUUCGAGUCUUGGAUCAAAAGGACAGAAUUACCCGAAGAAAAACUCUCAAGUUUUACAAGAUACAAUGGAACCAGUUAUGGCAGAACCUCCCAAGUUAUUGGGCCCACAUGCACCUGUCCUUGUCUCAAAGACCUCAGACGGCUAUACAUGUGCAUCAGAUAACUUAACAGGAUCCGUCGGAUUACCCCAAGAACAUCGGAUAAACCACUUACAACCAGAACCGCAGGAUUAAGUAAUACAAAUCACACACACCAAUAUUUUUGCAGCGGAAAUCUUAUUACCAAAUUUUACAAGUUACAAAAAAAUUACAUUAUUUUAUCGGAGUGAUUACAAAUGUAUAAGUUUGAAAUAUAUGCUAGCUCAAGUGAGCAUCCUCAUUAAGAAGUAUAGAAGGGUUACUUAGACUUAUAAGAAGGUCGAGCCCACAGGCACUUAACACCAUCAUCAGCGGCACAAAACUAUGACCUAAAAAACAACAGGGAAUAAAACCUUGAGUAUGGAAUUACUCAGCAAGACUUACCCGACUAAAGAAAAGACUCUCAAGGGUAUGCUGGCUAGAGGGAUUCAAGGUAUGGCUUAUCAAGAAUCAAAGACUCUGUUUUGCAGAAAUGCUUACUAAAAGUGGAUCCUUAAAAAUCCAUUUUUACUUGUCAGGUUAAGUAAAAUUACCUGCAUCUAGAGUUCUUUCUACCCUAGUUCAAUCACUUGGCAUAUACUAGCCAUGUUUUCAUCAUCCCUUUAGUUCAUUGGAUUGCUACGUGUAGGGCAGUGACCAAGUCUUCAUGUCCGCGAAGUUACGGCGAUCUGAAUCGAUUAUACUCAGCUGAGGAUCUCCAAUCACACGACAUAUGUAGCACUUAAUCCUUGCAUAUGUCAACUCGCCACCGGGGUUCUUAAGACCAGAUCAGGUUCACGCCAACCGAGAGCACAGAUACACCACUGUCCAGCCUCUUGCCACGGAGGGUACACGCUACUCUCGCCAUCUCUCCACUUCCAUUGUGUGUUAUCUUAUUCUGGUAUUAGUUUGCCCGAGGCAAAGCUUACCCAUGACGAGGCAUGUGACCAGUUAAAGGGUCCUCGAUCAUCAAGCCUACAUCGGCACGGUCCUUAAUCGACUCAGACGGAGACACUACACCGAGACUCCUUUCUCGUGCAAGUCAACCGCCCGGUCUCAGCUUUAUUAAUUUCAACCCAAAGUCUGGUACCUGGCAGAGGUACAUCUUUUCCGAUGUUGAACCCAUCAAGGCCUUUGACAGAUCCACCAUCAAGUUUUAUUUUUGAAAACAUUUCCACCCACUGAAGCAUCACUUUUGUUUUAAAACAAAACAUUUUUGUUUUUUCUAAAGCAAGGCUAAGCAUCAUAAAAUCCUUUUUGAAAAAGGGUGUCAAGGAAGGGUAUUCAAGUUUUCAAGGAAGGAAAUGCAUCAAUUGUUUGGCACACAACUCCUAUCACCUAAUGCAUCAAACAAGGUGAUAAGAUUUUAAAACAUCAAGGAGAUGGCAAAUGCACCGGGGCUUGCCUGAAUAACACUAGGUUAGUGUUUGUUAGGCGAUGUCCACUUGACGAUCAUCCUUUGGCUUGGCACUCGUUCAGAUUAUCCAUCUUCCGGUUCGUCCAUCAGCAUCAUCCUGUGGAUUAGCCCGCGCUUGGGGUCGACUUGGCUCGUCUUCCGCAUCGCGCAAUUAUUUACCGUACCUCAUGAGAUGCACGAUGCAC
rnacentral:lncRNA from 1 species